AAGACUUUUAAUAACAUGUUCGUCUUUCAGGUAAUUGGAGCCUUUUGGUACUUUUUUUCUAUUCAACGAGAGACAGCUUGCUGGCACUUGGUCUGUGGAAAUCUAAGUGGAUGUGGAAAUUCUUUUAGUUGUGCUAAUACUGACAGUUCAGUAAAUUACGCAUUCCUAGAUGAUCGUUGCCCAAUAAAUACACCAAAUACAACAAAAUUUGAUUUUGGAAUAUUUCUUGAAGCCCUUCAGUCUGGUAUUGUGCAAUCCUCAAAUCUUCCACAAAAAUUCUUUUACUGUUUCUGGUGGGGACUACGAAAUCUAAGUUCUUAUGGUCAAGGCCUUCAAACAAGCAACUAUCUCUGGGAAAGUUGCUUUUCAAUUUUUAUCUCUAUCUUGGGCUUGCUGCUAUUUUUAUA